rnacentral:rRNA from 1 species
GAUGAACGCUGGCGGCGUGCCUAAUACAUGCAAGUCGAGCGAACAGACGAGGAGCUUGCUCCUCUGACGUUAGCGGCGGACGGGUGAGUAACACGUGGAUAACCUACCUAUAAGACUGGGAUAACUUCGGGAAACCGGAGCUAAUACCGGAUAAUAUAUUGAACCGCAUUGUUCAAUAGUGAAAGACGGUUUUGCUGUCACUUAUAGAUGGAUCCGCGCCGCAUUAGCUAGUUGGUAGGGUAACGGCUUACCAAGGCAACGAUGCGUAGACGACCGCAGAGGGGGAUAGGCCGCCCUGGAGCUGGAACACGGUCCAGAGUCCUACGGGAGGCACCAGUAGGGAAUCUGCCGCAAUGGGCGAAAGCCUGACGGAGCAACGCCGAGUGAGUGAUGAAGGUCUUCGGAUCGUAAAACUCUGUUAUUAGGGAAGAACAAAUGUGUAAGUAACUAUGCACGUCUUGACGGUACCUAAUCAGAAAGCCACGGCUAACUACGUG